rnacentral:rRNA from 1 species
UACGUAGGGGGCAAGCGUUGUCCGGAUUUAUUGGGCGUAAAGGGCGCGUAGGCGGUCAGCACAAGUCAGUUGUGAAAUCUCCGGGCUUAACCCGGAAAGGUCAACUGAUACUGUGCGACUAGAGUGCGGGAAGGGGCAACUGGAAUUCUCGGUGUAGCGGUGAAAUGCGUAGAUAUCGAGAGGAACACCUGCGGCGAAGGCGGGUAGCUGGGCCAACACUGACGCUGAGGAGCGAAAGCGUGGGGAGCGAACAGG